rnacentral:rRNA from 1 species
GACAGGACUGUGGGUGAUAAGAUUCAUAGGCGAAAGGGAAACAGCCCAGAUCGUCAGCUAAGGUCCCUAAAUGUAAGUUAAGGGGUAAAGGAUGUGGGAGUGUACAGACAACCAUGAGGUUGGCUUAGAAGCAGCCACGCAUUCAAAGAGUGCGUAAUAGCUCACGGGUCGAGUGAUCCUGCGCCGAAGAUUUCCGGGGCUAAAACUUACUACCGAAGCGACGGCAUCAGUAAUGAUGGGUAGGGGAGCUUCCCAUACGGGGUGAAGCAUGACCGUAAGGACAUGUGGACAGUAUGGGAGUGAGAAUGUUGGCAUGAGUAGCGAGCUGUGGGUGAGAAUCCCACAGGCCGUAAACCCCAGGUUUCCAGGGGAAGGUUCGUCCGCCCGGGGUUAGUCGGGACCUAAGCUGAGGAGUGAAGGCGUAUUGGAGGGCUGAGAGG